UCCGGUUGAUCCUGCCGGACCCGACUGCUAUCAGAGUGGGACUAAGCCAUGCGAGUCAACGCAGCAAUGCGUGGCAUACGGCUCAGUAACACGUAGUCAACAUGCCCAGGGGACGUGGAUAACCUCGGGAAACUGAGGAUAAACCGCGAUAGGCCAAGGUUUCUGGAAUGGAUCAUGGCUGAAACCUAUAUGGCCCCUGGAUUGGACUGCGGCCGAUCAGGCUGUUGGUGAGGUAAUGGCCCACCAAACCUGUAACCGGUACGGGCUCUGAGAGGAGGAGCCCGGAGAUGGGCACUGAGACGAGGGCCCAGGCCCUAUGGGGCGCAGCAGGCGCGAAACCUCUGCAAUAGGCGAAAGCUUGACAGGGUUACUCUGAGUGAUGUCCGCUAAGGGCAUCUUUUGGCACUUCUAAAAAUAGUGUAGAAUAAGGGGUGGGCAAGUCUGGUGUCAGCCGCCGCGGUAAUACCAGCACCCCGAGUGGUCGGGACGAUUAUUGGGCCUAAAGCAUCCGUAGCCGGUUCUGCAAGUCUUCCGUUAAAUCCACCUGCUCAACAGAUGGGCUGCGGAGGAUACUACAGGGCUAGGAGGCGGGAGAGGCAAGCGGUACUCAGUGGGUAGGGGUAAAAUCCUCUGAUCCACUGAAGACCACCAGUGGCGAAGGCGGCUUGCCAGAACGCGCUCGACGGUGAGGGAUGAAAGCUGGGGGAGCAAACCGGAUUAGAUACCCGGGUAGUCCCAGCUGUAAACGAUGCAGACUCGGUGAUGGGUUGGCUUCGAGCCAACCCAGUGCCGCAGGGAAGCCGUUAAGUCUGCCGCCUGGGGAGUACGGUCGCAAGACUGAAACUUAAAGGAAUUGGCGGGGGAGCACCACAAGGGGUGAAGCCUGCGGUUCAAUUGGAGUCAACGCCGGAAAUCUUACCGGGAGCGACAGCAGAGUGAAGGUCAAGCUGAAGACUUUACCAGACAAGCUGAGAGGAGGUGCAUGGCC
rnacentral:rRNA from 1 species